rnacentral:rRNA from 1 species
AGAGCGAACGCUGGCGGCAGGCCUAACACAUGCAAGUCGAGCGCCCGUAGCAAUACGGGAGCGGCAGACGGGAUAGUAACACGUGGGAACGCGCCCUUCGGUUCGGAAUAACUCAGGGAAACUUGAGCUAAUACCGGAUACGCCCUUACGGGGAAAGAUUUAUUGCCGAAGGAACGGCCCGCGUCCGAUUAGCUAGUUGGUGAGGUAAUGGCUCACCAAGGCGACGAUCGGUAGCUGGUCUGAGAGGAUGACCAGCAUCACUGGGACUGAGACACGGCCCAGACUCCUACGGGAGGCAGCAGUGGGGAAUAUUGGACAAUGGGCGCAAGCCUGAUCCAGCCAUGCCGCGUGGAUGAUGAAGGCCUUAGGGUUGUAAACCUCUUUCGACAGGGACGAUAAUGACGGUACCUGUAGAAGAAGCACCGGCCAACUAUGCGCCAGCAGCCGC